UACGGAAGGCAGCAGUGGGGAAUAUUGCACAAUGGGCGAAAGCCUGAUGCAGCUAUGCCGCGUGUAUGAAGAAGGCCUUAGGGUUGUAAAGUACUUUCAUCGGGGAGGAAAAAACAAAACUAAUAAUUUUAUUUCUUGACGUUACCCGAAAAAGAAGCACCGGCUAACUCCGUGCCAGCAGCCGCGGUAAUACGGAGGGUGCUAGCGUUAAUCAGAAUUACUGGGCGUAAAGAGCACGUAGGUGGUUUUUUUAAAGUCAGAUGUGAAUCCCUGGGCUUAACCUAGGAACUGCAUUUUGAAACUGAAAUACUAGAGUAUCGUAGAGGGAGGUAGAAUUCUAGGUGUAGCGGUGAAAUGCGUAGAUAUCUGGAGGAAUACCUGUGGCGAAAGCGGCCUCCUAAACGAAUACUGACACUGAGGGUGCGAAAGCGUGGGGAGCGAAACAGGGAUUAGAUA
rnacentral:rRNA from 1 species